GACAGAGGUGCCAAGCGUUAGGCGGAAUCACUGGGCUUAAAGCGUGUGUAGGCGGAUAUCUAAGUACCUUGUGAAAUCCCACGGCUCAACCGUGGAACUGCUUGGUAUACUGGGUGUCUUGAGCCAUCUAGGGGCUACCGGAACAAAUGGUGGAGCGGUGAAAUGCGUAGAUAUCAUUUGGAACGCCAAUGGUGAAAACAGCUCGCUGGGGCUGCGCUGACGCUGAGACACGAAAGCCAGGGGAGCGAACGGG
rnacentral:rRNA from 1 species